AUGGCGACCGGCGUACGGGUGAGUAACGCGUAUCCGACCUGCCCUUUACUAUGGGACAGCCCGUCGAAAGGCGGAUUAAUACCGUAUGUUGUCAUGUUGAUGCAUAUUUUCAUGACCAAAGGCUUCGGCCGGUAAAGGAUGGGGAUGCGUCUGAUUAGCUUGCCGGCGGGGUAACGGCCCACCGGGGCGACGAUCAGUAGGGGUUCUGAGAGGAAGGUCCCCCACAUUGGAACUGAGACACGGUCCAAACUCCUACGGAAGGCAGCAG
rnacentral:rRNA from 1 species